rnacentral:rRNA from 1 species
AUCCUUAAUAGAAUUAGAGCAAGGCUCGCGGGCUGGAAAGGGAAGCUCUUGCCGCUGGCAGGCCGCCGCGUUCUCGUAGGCUGCGUGCUUUCUGCUAUGCCAACCUUUGUACUCAUGGCGCUGCGAAUACCAAAGAAGUUCAUCAAGGAGAUCGACAAGUCAAGAAGGCGCUUCCUCUGGGCGGGAGACGCAGAAAUUUCGGGCGGCAAAUGUAAGGUCCGCUGGGCAUCUAUGACCAAGCCGGAGCAACUGGGCGGACUGGGCAUCCCUGAUCUCAGCCGUUUCGCCCGAGCCCUACGGUUGCACUGGCUUUGGCUCUCCUGGAGGUAG